AUGGAGGGUAGAAGUGCGAUCUCUCCUCUAGGAGAGCCCUCAAUUCCAAUGAUCGCAGCAUGUGCACCAGCACUAUCAGGUGACAAUAGCGAUACGAGAAAAUCAAGAUAUCCUAAUGGUUCUUUGUAUAAACCCCAGUGUGACGAGGAAUUGAAGCCAAAAGUAGGGAUGGUAUUUGAUGACAUUGCCUCAGUGCUAGAAUUUUACAGGACAUAUGCACACAAUGUCGGAUUUGCUGUGCGUCUUAGACAACAGAGGGUCGUAGAUAAUGUGCUUCAAUGGAAAUGCUUCCUGUGUGCAAAAGAUGGCUUCCGUCCCGAGAAAGGUAUGGUUGUUGUUGAGGCUUCAAAGAAAAGGAGAAAGCAUGUUGGGUGCACCCAGAAAGACCUACAGAAUCACUAUGGUGGACUGAAAAAUAAAAUAAGAAAUUGUGAUGCUCAAAUGUUGGUGGACCAAUUUGGUAGAUUGAAGACUCUGAACCCUGCAUUUUUCUUUGAAUAUGAAGUUGACGAGGUCAGUACAUUGAUUCGUUUAUUCUGGACGGAUGCAUCAAGUAGGAAAAACUAUGGGCAUUUCAGCGAUGUCGUAUCUUUUGAUUCGACAUACAGCACUAACCAAUAUGAAUACACCUUUGCGCCCUUCACUAGAGUAAACCAUCACAUGCAAAGUGUCUUUUUUGGGGCGGGGUUUCUACUUCAUGAGACAGAAGAAUCCUAUAUUUGGCUGUUCAGGUCAUUUCUUAGAGCAAUGGGUGGGAUUGCGCCUAGAGUGAUCAUAACUGAUGAAUGUGUUAGGAUGAAAAAUGCAACCAGAAAAACUCUACCGAACACGACACAUAGAUUGCGCAUGUGGCACAUUAUGGAAAAGGUUCCAGGGAAGGUACGCCUGGAAUUGAGGAAUGACCUUGUGUUCUAUGAUAGGCUGAAACAUUGUGUGUGGAAUUCUGAAACACCUGCUAAAUUUGAGGAUAGAUGGCAAUCUUUCAUCAUAGAGUUUCAGUUGGAGGACUAUGAGUGGUUUGCCAAAAGUGAGUUGUUGACAUCAUGGGAAAUAGAGAGACAAGGCAGGGUGCUAUUCACCCAUGAGGUUUUUGAAUUGUUUCAGGCUCAGGUGCUUGCUGCCAGAGAUGAUUGUGAUGUUCAGCAGACAGAAAAUCAUGAGGGGAUUAAAAUCAUGUUUGCCAGCGAUCAAUACAAGAAGAUUAGAGAAGUGUGUUAUGACACAACAUCCAUGACCGCUAAAUGUUCUUGCAAGCUUUUUGAGUCCAAGGGAAUUGUGUGCCGUCACAUUAUUAGGGUAUUUAGGGGUGCGAAAAUAAAUGAAUUGCCAAGCCUUUGUAUUCUUAAGCGAUGGAAGAAAAAAUGCAAAAGGGACAUUGUCUAUGAUGGGGAAGGGAAUGUGCUUGAAGAAAAUUUAACAUAUUUGGUUGACAUUGCUGUGAAAAGGAAGAUAGUUGCUAUGAGGGACAAGCUAGAAGAUCUCAUAGGAGAAUCCAAACACUCCAUGGAAGGAAUUGAAUUCCUACACAAUAGUUUGUGUGGCAUUGAGUUGGGUUUAGCCCAACUAGUUUUGACCGUACCAUGCAAUACACAAGAAAAUGAGGAGUCGUGUAUUGGGAGUGUCAUUCCAAAGGAUGUUACAAUCCUCACACCUAAGGAUAUCAAUGCAAGGGGCACAUGCUCUAGAAUAAAGGGCCAUAGGGAUGGUGCGAGGAGUGGAUCCGGUGAGAAGAGAAGGCCUGGAAUUCAUCAAAAAGUCGCGCACAAAUGCAGCAUUUGUCUAUAA
rnacentral:rRNA from 1 species